rnacentral:rRNA from 1 species
AGGACGAACGCUGGCGGCGUGCUUAACACAUGCAAGUCGAACGGUGAAGCCUUUCGGGGUGGAUCAGUGGCGAACGGGUGAGUAACACGUGGGCAAUCUGCCCUGCAUUCUGGGACAAGCCUUGGAAACGAGGUCUAAUACCGGAUACGACGCAUCUCCGCAUGGGGUGUGCGUGGAAAGCUCCGGCGAUGCAGGAUGAGCCCGCGGCCUAUCAGCUUGUUGGUGGGGUAAUGGCCUACCAAGGCGACGACGGGUAGCCGGCCUGAGAGGGCGACCGGCCACACUGGGACUGAGACACGGCCCAGACUCCUACGGGAGGCAGCAGUGGGGAAUAUUGCACAAUGGGCGAAAGCCUGAUGCAGCGACGCCGCGUGAGGGAUGACGGCCUUCGGUUGUAACCUCUUUCAGCAGGGAGAGCGCAAGUGACGGUACCUGCAGAAGAAGCACCGGCUAACUACGUGCCAGCAGCCGCGGUAA